rnacentral:rRNA from 1 species
AUUGAACGCUGGCGGCAUGCUUUACACAUGCAAGUCGAACGGUAACAGGCCUUCGGUUGCUGACGAGUGGCGAACGGGUGCGUAAUGCAUCGGAACGUGCCCAGAGGCGGGGGAUAACGCAGCGAAAGCUGUGCUAAUACCUCAUGUGAUCUGAGGAUGAAAGCGGGGGACCAGGCAGCAAUGUUUGGCCUCGCGCCUUUGGAGCGGCCGAUGUCAGAUUAGGUAGUUGGUGGGGUAAAGGCCUACCAAGCCGACGAUCUGUAGCUGGUCUGAGAGGACGACCAGCCACACUGGGACUGAGACACGGCCCAGACUCCUACGGGAGGCAGCAGUGGGGAAUUUUGGACAAUGGGCGCAAGCCUGAUCCAGCAAUGCCGCGUGCGGGAAGAAGGCCUUCGGGUUGUAAAACGCUUUUGUACGGAACGAAAAGGCUCUGGCUAAUACCUGGGGCUGAUGACGGUACCGUAAGAAUAAGCACCGGCUAACUACGUG